rnacentral:rRNA from 1 species
CUACGGGGGGCAGCAGGCGCGAAACCUUUACACUGUACGCAAGUGCGAUAAGGGGACUCCCAGUGCUCAUGCAUUGCAUGGGCUUUUGCCACGUGUAAAUAGCUUGGCGAAUAAGUGGUGGGUAAGACGGGUGCCAGCCGCCGCGGUAACACCUGCGCCACGAGUGGCAAUCAUAUUUAUUGGGCCUAAAGCGUUCGUAGCCGGGAAAGUCAGUCUUGGGUGAAAUCGUUGCGCUUAACAAAACGACGUGCCUGAGAUACUGCUUUUCUAGAGACCGGGAGGAGUAAGGGGUAUUCCGGAGGGAGCGGUAAAAUGCUAUAAUCUCCGGAGGACCACCUGUGGCGAAGGCGCCUUACUAGAACGGGUCUGACGGUGAGGAACGAAAGCUAGGGGAGCAAACUGAGAAGCAAUUCUCGGGCUUAG